rnacentral:rRNA from 1 species
GAUAAAACGCUGGCGGCGUGCCUAACACAUGCAAGUCGAACGAUCCCGCAAGGGAGAGUGGCGGAAGGGUGAGUAACACGUGGGAAUCUACCUCCUCGCAGGGAACAACCUCUCGAAAGAGAGGCUAAUACCCAAAAGGGUCAGAAAUGAUCAGAGUCGAAAGGCGAGAGGAGAGGAGCCCGCGGCCCAUCAGCUAGUUGGUGAGGUAAUGGCUUACCAAGGCUACGACGGGUAGGGGAGUCUGAGAGGAUGUCCCCCACACUGGAACUGAAACACGUCCAGACGCCUACGGGUGGCAGCAGUGAGGAAUAUUGGACAAUGGGCGAAAGCCCGAUCCAGCAACGCCGCGUGGAGGAUGAAGGCCUUCGGUC